rnacentral:rRNA from 1 species
UACGGAGGGGGCUAGCGUUGUUCGGAAUUACUGGGCGUAAAGCGCACGUAGGCGGCUUUGUAAGUUAGAGGUGAAAGCCCGGGGCUCAACUCCGGAAUUGCCUUUAAGACUGCAUCGCUAGAAUUGUGGAGAGGUAAGUGGAAUUCCGAGUGUAGAGGUGAAAUUCGUAGAUAUUCGGAAGAACACCAGUGGCGAAGGCGACUUACUGGCUCAUUACUGACGCUCAGGCGCGAUAGCGUGGGGAUCAAACAGG